rnacentral:rRNA from 1 species
AUUGAACGCUGGCGGAAUGCUUUACACAUGCAAGUCGAACGGCAGCACGGGGGCAGCCCUGGUGGCGAGUGGCGAACGGGUGAGUAAUACAUCGGAACGUGCCCGGUCGUGGGGGAUAACGUAGCGAAAGUUACGCUAAUACCGCAUCCGAUCUGAGGAUGAAAGCGGGGGACCUUCGGGCCUCGCGCGAUCGGAGCGGCCGAUGUCAGAUUAGGUAGUUGGUGGGGUAAAGGCCUACCAAGCCGACGAUCUGUAGCUGGUCUGAGAGGACGACCAGCCACACUGGGACUGAGACACGGCCCAGACUCCUACGGGAGGCAGCAGUGGGGAAUGUUGGACAAUGGGCGCAAGCCUGAUCCAGCCAUUCCGCGUGCAGGACGAAGGCCUUCGGGUUGUAAACUGCCUUUGUACGGAACGAAAAGGCUCUGGCUAAUACCUGGGGCUCAUGACGGUACCGGAAGAAUAAGCACCGGCUAACUACGUG